rnacentral:miRNA from 1 species
GGAGGAUUGCUUGAGCCCAGGAGUUCGAGGCUGCAGUGAGCUAUGAUGAUGCCACUGCACUCCAGCCUGAGUGACAGAGCAAGACCCUGUCUC